rnacentral:rRNA from 1 species
AAGGUAGCAUAAUAAUUUGCCUUUUAAUUGGAGGCUAGCAUGAACGGACAAACGAGAAUAUGGCUGUCUCACUACCAGCAAUGAAAAUUAACCUUCAAGUGAAGAGGCUUGAAUAACAUAAAAAGACGAAAAGACCCUAUGGAGCUUUACUUACAUAGAGAACAAGGCACAAUAAAAAAACUGCCAGACUCCUAAACAGUUCAGUUGGGGCGACUGAGGAGCACUAUUAAAGCCCCCUCAACACACAAGAAAAUAAAUCCAUUAAAGAUCCACAAACGUGAAUAAAGAAUCAGCUACCCUAGGGAUAACAGGCUAAUCCUUCUCGAGAGCCCAAAUUGACAGAAGGGGUUGGCACCUCGAUGUUGGCUUAAGGUACCUCUAAAGUGCAGCAGCUUUAGUAGUGGGUUUGUUCAACCCUUAAAACCUUACGUGAUCUGAGUUCAGACCGG